CCUACGGGAGGCAGCAGUGAGGAAUAUUGGUCAAUGGACGAGAGUCUGAACCAGCCAAGUAGCGUGAAGGAUGACUGCCCUAUGGGUUGUAAACUUCUUUUAUAUGGGAAUAAAACGUUCCACGUGUGGGAUUUUGUAUGUACCAUAUGAAUAAGGAUCGGCUAACUCCGUGCCAGCAGCCGAGGUAAUACGGAGGAUCCGAGCGUUAUCCGGAUUUAUUGGGUUUAAAGGGAGCGUAGGUGGAUUGUUAAGUCAGUUGUGAAAGUUUGCGGCUCAACCGUAAAAUUGCAGUUGAAACUGGCAGUCUUGAGUACAGUAGAGGUGGGCGGAAUUCGUGGUGUAGCGGUGAAAUGCUUAGAUAUCACGAAGAACUCCGAUUGCGAAGGCAGUUCACUGGACUGCAACUGACACUGAGGCUCGAAAGUGUGGGUAUCAAACAGGAUUAGAUACCCGUGUAGUC
rnacentral:rRNA from 1 species